rnacentral:rRNA from 1 species
UACAGAGGGUGCGAGCGUUACUCGGAAUUACGGGGCGUAAAGCGCACGUAGGUGGCGACGUAAGUCGGGUGUGAAAGCCCCGGGCUCAACCUGGGAAUUGCAUUCGAGACUGGAUUGCUGGAGUACGGAAGAGGAGGGCGGAAUUCCCGGUGUAGCGGUGAAAUGCGUAGAUAUCGGGAGGAACAUCAGUGGCGAAGGCGCCCCUCUGGUCCAGUACUGACACUCAAGUGCGAAAGCGUGGGGAGCAAACAGG